rnacentral:rRNA from 1 species
UACGUGAGGACCGAGCGUUGUCCGGAUUCAUUGGGCGUAAAGAGCUCGUAGGCGGCCACUCAAGUCGAAUGUGAAACCUCGAGGCUUAACCUCGAGCCUGCAUUUGAUACUGGGCGGCUAGAGUCUGGUAGGGGGAUCUGGAAUUCCUGGUGUAGCGGUGGAAUGCGCAGAUAUCAGGAGGAACACCGGUGGCGAAGGCGGGAUCCUGGGCCAGUACUGACGCUGAGGAGCGAAAGCGUGGGGGAGCAAACAGG